rnacentral:Y_RNA from 1 species
GGAUGGUCUCAGUGCAGAGGUGUUUACAACAAACUGAUCACAGCCAGUUACAGAUUUCUUUGUCUUUCUCCACUCCCACUGCUUCAUCUGACUAGCCUUAC